CACAAAAUAAGCUAAGGUAAAGCUGUUGGGUUCAUACCCCAAAAAUGAGGUUGCUCUUUUGUGG
rnacentral:tRNA from 1 species